CCACCCACCACUGGCCCACCUGGAAGCUGCUGACCCACCUGGUCCACAAAGCUGAUGGCAUCCCGGAUGUUAAGCCUGUAGUACACAUCCCAGAUCUGGUCCCGGAUGCGGUAGGCUGAUCGUCGCAUCAGCAGCUGACUCAGGAAAUGUCAUCCAAACUAGAAAAAGAACCAUGAUUUAUGGGGAAAACUACAGUUGUUGCUAUAAACUCUAAGACAAGAACUCUUCUGCAACUCACAGACUUCUCAGCAAACCCAAUUGUUGGCUCCAAAUCUGAGGCUCUUUCCACUCUACUCUCAUUGCUGCUGGGCCUCUAAGGUAAACGUGGUUAUAGAUCUCUCCA